GGAGGCCUUAGCCCAGUGGCUGAGUGUCUGCCUUGUGUGCAGAAGGUCCCAGGUUCAAUCCCGCACGGCGUCUCCA